rnacentral:rRNA from 1 species
AACGAACGCUGGCGGCAUGCCUAACACAUGCAAGUCGAACGAGACCUUCGGGUCUAGUGGCGCACGGGUGCGUAACGCGUGGGAACCUGCCCUUAGGUUCGGAAUAACUCCCCGAAAGGGGUGCUAAUACCGGAUAAUGUCUUCGGACCAAAGAUUUUGCGCCUUUGGAUGGGCCCGCGUUGGAUUAGCGAGUUGGUAGGGUAAAAGCCUACCAAGGCGACGAUCCAUAGCUGGUCUGAGAGGAUGAUCAGCCACACUGGGACUGAGACACGGCCCAGACUCCUACGAGAGGCAGCAGUGGGGAAUAUUGGACAGUGGGCGAAAGCCUGAUCCAGCAAUGCCGCGUGAGUGAUGAAGGCCUUAGGGUUGUAAAGCUCUUUUACCCGGGAUGAUAAUGACAGUACCGGGAGAAUAAGCUCCGGCUAACUCCGU